UACAUAUAUGUUUCAGUCUUAUC
rnacentral:siRNA from 1 species